AGGGGAGGACCUAAUACACCAGUUAAAUUAUUUAGGACCGGCCAUGUCUUAUUGAUCAUUUGAAACAUCCGACAUGUGUUCUUUCAGGUCGAAGCAGUGAAGUGUUCGGAACUUCGAAGCGCCAGCAGACUGGUCACUGGAGUCGUUCUGAGCCAGUACCAGCGUGACGCCUCGGCAGGUGGUGGCGCAGCGAAACUCUCACCGUGUGUGGGAGCAGGAUAAAAGGAUUAUCCAGGUGUUAUUAGCAGCCUUCAAAACUUCAGGCUUAACUAACGGGCACUUGACUACUCCACCUUAUCCAUGAGGACGAGGAUCUGAGGGAAGCUCCGAAGCACCCACUCCAGACCAGCUGAUGUGAUAGCCCCCCAGGGUUUGAAGACUGUGGUCGUUUGUGCCGGGAGAAGAGAGCAAGUCGCUUCCGUCCAUGGGCAGAGGCAGAAUCUUCAUCAUCAUCAUCAGGCAACCCAGGCAAAUAUGGCUUGUUUUCAAUGGACCCACCAAGCUUCAACCACUUUAUAACACAUGUUGAAGUCAUUCAUAUCAGUGAUGCUCAGCACCUCAGCACUACUACUACCCUGCACUGUAAUCCUACAAACACAGUACUUGUAUUUUAAGUAAUAAAAUUUUAUAACUGA